UGAGCAAUCUGCCCUUCACAUCGGAAUAACCAUUGGAAACGAUGGCUAAUACCGAAUAUGACUUCGGAUCGCAUGAUCUGAAGUGGAAAGCUCCGGCGGAGAAGGAUGAGCUCGCGGCCUAUCAGCUAGUUGGUGUGGGUAAUGGCCCACAAGGCGACGACGGGUAGCCGGCCUGAGAGGGCGACCGGCCACACUGGGACUGAGACACGGCCCAGAUCCUACG
rnacentral:rRNA from 1 species